CACAUUCUUACAGAACUGCUCUCUCUGGGAAAUCUGACACAGCUAGAAAGCAAUGGAAAACACUAAGUGUUGCCUCAGAUGACGAAGAGGAACUGAUCAUACCAUGGAGAUAAAGAUGAUCUCUUUAAGGAGGAUUUCAAAAAUCUGGUUAUUUCAAGAUCAGCAAGAGUGGGCUGCAAAUAAAUUUCAUCCCUUUUCAGGACGUUUCCUUGUCAAGAGCAUUCUAGAUUCACUCUGUGGAAAAAUGUCUACAGUAGAUUUAGUAUGAUUAUGAUCUUGCCUUAAUUCUAUUAGGUAAGUAGUUUCCUUUUACUAUUUCUUAACACUGCAUCUGAUAUUAGCUUCCAGUAUUACUGGCACUGUAUGUGACCCAAGGGAGAGUUAGAAAGGAAGUAAAAGAUGUGGCCUCAGAAGGCCC